AUCGCUUCUCAGCCUUUUGGCUAAGAUCAAGUGUAGAUAUUGUUCUACCCUUGGUUAUGUUUUCUUUCAUACUUACAAUUCUUCAUAGUGGUACAUAUAAAUCUAUCUUUUGCUCCUUAUCUUCUUAAUAUUCCUUGAUGGGGCUCUUCUCUUCUUCACAUAGUCAUUUCCCUGUGAUGGAGAGCCUCAUC